CCCUUAGAUGUUCUGGGCCGCACGCGCGCUACACUGACAGGGCCAGCGAGUACAUCACCUUAACCGAGAGGUUUGGGUAAUCUUGUUAAACCCUGUCGUGCUGGGGAUAGAGCAUUGCAAUUAUUGCUCUUCAACGAGGAAUGCCUAGUAGGCACGAGUCAUCAGCUCGUGCCGAUUACGUCCCUGCCCUUUGUACACACCGCCCGUCGCUCCUACCGAUUGAAUGCUCAGGUGAGCCAUUCGGACUUUCAUCAUGCUGGUUUCCAGUUUUGAUGAAGGAAAGUCUUGCGAACCUUAUCAUUUAGAGGAAGGAGAAGUCGUAACA
rnacentral:rRNA from 1 species